rnacentral:rRNA from 1 species
UCAUGGCUCAGGACGAACGCUGGCGGCGUGCCUAAUACAUGCAAGUCGAGCGAAUGGAAGGGAGCUUGCUCCCGGAAGUUAGCGGCGGACGGGUGAGUAACACGUGGGCAACCUGCCUGUAAGACUGGGAUAACUUCGGGAAACCGGAGCUAAUACCGGAUAAUUUCUUUCUUCUCAUGGAGGAAGGUUGAAAGAUGGCUUCGGCUAUCACUUACAGAUGGGCCCGCGGCGCAUUAGCUAGUUGGUGAGAUAACGGCUCACCAAGGCAACGAUGCGUAGCCGACCUGAGAGGGUGAUCGGCCACACUGGGACUGAGACACGGCCCAGACUCCUACGGGAGGCAGCAGUAGGGAAUCUUCCGCAAUGGACGAAAGUCUGACGGAGCAACGCCGCGUGAGUGAUGAAGGUUUUCGGAUCGUAAAACUCUGUUGUCAGGGAAGAACAAGUAUCGGAGUAACUGCCGGUACCUUGACGGUACCUGACCAGAAAGCCACGGCUAACUACGUGCCAGCAGCCGCGGUAAUACGUAGGUGGCAAGCGUUGUCCGGAAUUAUUGGGCGUAAAGCGCGCGCAGGCGGUCCUUUAAGUCUGAUGUGAAAGCCCACGGCUCAACCGUGGAAGGUCAUUGGAAACUGGGGGACUUGAGUGCAGAAGAGAAGAGCGGAAUUCCACGUGUAGCGGUGAAAUGCGUAGAGAUGUGGAGGAACACCAGUGGCGAAGGCGGCUCUUUGGUCUGUAACUGACGCUGAGGCGCGAAAGCGUGGGGAGCAAACAGGAUUAGAUACCCUGGUAGUCCACGCCGUAAACGAUGAGUGCUAAGUGUUAGAGGGUUUCCGCCCUUUAGUGCUGCAGUAACGCAUAAGCACUCCGCCUG